GAUGAACGCUGGCGGCGUGCCUAAUACAUGCAAGUCGAGCGAAUGGAUUGAGAGCUUGCUCUUAUGAAGUUAGCGGCGGACGGGUGAGUAACACGUGGGUAACCUGCCCAUAAGACUGGGAUAACUCCGGGAAACCGGGGCUAAUACCGGAUAACAUUUUGAACCGCAUGGUUCGAACUUGAAAGGCGGCCUCGGCUGUCACUUAUGGAUGGACCCGCGUCGCAUUAGCUAGUUGGUGAGGUAACGGCUCACCAAGGCAACGAUGCGUAGCCGACCUGAGAAGGUGAGCGGCCACCCUGGGAAUGGGACCCGGCCCAGAAUCCUACGGGAGGGAGCAGUAGGGAAUCUUUCGAAAUGGACGAAAGUCUUACGGAGCAAAGACGCGUGAGUGAUGAAGGCUUUCGGGUCGUAAAACUCUGUUGUUAGGGAAGAACAAGUGCUAGUUGAAUAAGCUGGCACCUUGACGGUACCUAACCAGAAAGCCACGGCUAACUACGUGCCAGCCGCCGCCGUAA
rnacentral:rRNA from 1 species